ACGAACGCUGGCGGCGUGCUUAACACAUGCAAGUCGAACGAUGAAGCCAGCUUGCUGGUGGAUUAGUGGCGAACGGGUGAGUAACACGUGGGUGAUCUGCCCCAAACUUUGGGAUAAGCCUGGGAAACUGGGUCUAAUACCGAAUAUGACCGAUACUCGCAUGGGUGUUGGUGGAAAGCUCCGGCGGUUUGGGAUGGGCCCGCGGCCUAUCAGCUUGUUGGUGGGGUAAUGGCCUACCAAGGCGACGACGGGUAGCCGGCCUGAGAGGGCGACCGGCCACACUGGGACUGAGACACGGCCCAGACUCCUACGGGAGGCAGCAGUGGGGAAUAUUGCACAAUGGGCGCAAGCCUGAUGCAGCGACGCCGCGUGAGGGAUGACGGCCUUCGGGUUGUAAACCUCUUUCACCAGGGACGAAGCGAAAGUGACGGUACCUGGAGAAGAAGCACCGGCCAACUACGUG
rnacentral:rRNA from 1 species